AAACGAAAGUAAAAAUGCUGGUUAGUAGAAUAAACCAAUAAAGCACACUCAUGUUUCAGCGAGCUGUGACUAAAUACGGCAGUGUUAAUCUACUGAAUAAGUAAUCAAUUCAGACAAACUAUAAUAAACGUAACACAUCCUUUUGCAGGUAUGUGUGUGUGUAUUAUAUAUUUGUAUUAUUAAACUGUUACAAAAAUUAGGAAAAAAUCUGCCAGACAAAACAUCUUUUUGGUCGUUCUUUUCCUAUGAGUGUCCCAUAUUACCCGAAAAGGGAGAAAUUAGUGGGAGCAAAUUCUUAGCUUUUAACGUAUUCAGCUUUGCCGAGAAUUCGAGAAAUUGUUCAUAAUUUUCUCGAACUCUGUGCUUAUAUGUCUGACUGAAACAUGAAGUAUACUUCAGAGAACUACAGAUACAUGAAAAAAUCGUAUCGAUUUGUAAUGGAUUAAAGAAAUAAAUGCUCGUCUUGCCGAAAAACAAAUGGGUGUGUUGAAGGGGAAUCCUUCACAAAAAUGGCAUAAUUGUAUUUAUAUGGAACACAUCAUUUUAGGUUCCGUGAAUUUUUCCAAGACCCAGAAACACUUUUGAAGUGGGCAACUAAUCACUGUAAACUUAACCCGUAACGACUCUUCCUGAGGAAGUCCAUAUAUGAGAUUCUAGCACGACGCGUCGAAAUGUAAUAGGUAUCUUAUAUGGGAGUCUAAACGAUGGUAUUCCGUUCUUAGCUAGGAUGUGCCGUUACGUUUUUCAGCACUUCUGCCAAAAAAACGCACGCGCGCGCGCACGCCCAUUAUUACUCUUUCGCGUAGUUCUUCAACAGAGGACCGUGUUUAAUUAAUAAACACGGUCCUCUGUUGUAAUAAAAUAAGUCCUGUAUAGCAAAUAAAGUGAUAAACUUGUAAUAAAGCAUUCAACGAGCUUGUCUGGUAAUUCUGUUCGACGUAUUUUAUUACUUUUUACAUGAUAUACAUAACCAUCUUUACUUCGAACGGAUAUCAUAUGGGAAGCCAGAACUUCAGCAACAGUUAGCAACUCAUCACAGCGUGCCAAAGAGAACCCCCAUUGAAUUAGUCGAGUAAUAGUCGCAUUAUUUCUUCCCUAACGACAAAAAACAACGUCUCCUGGCUCUCUUCUCUCUCUUCGAAAUUCGCAUCUCUAAAUCAUUUACUCCAUUCAUGUACAGAUGAACCUAAAACUUCCCAUUUGAUAAAAGCCGUUGGCCAUAUUAGGAUGAACAUUUAGAUACCAGAUAUCCGAGCGGCUAACGAUACAUACUUCUACCGUCAUAGCAUGGGCCUGCAACGAUCUAAUGAAACCUAAUUCAAAUAACUACAGCUAAUCCAGUAUAGUUCACGAUAUCCACGGCCAUCGAUGGUGUAAUACUGUAUUCUACUACAUCAGAUCUAUCGAUAAACAAUCCUUGAAUUUCAAGAACCUAAUAAAUGGUUUCCACUGAUUCAAACUCACAAUUUUGCUUCGUCCUUCAUUACACUAACGAAUAUAUUCUCGUAUGACUUUCGGCGCUAAUUUCUUAGAACGUAACUUUCUAAAAAAAGCCAUUGCUUAGUAAAUACUGUUGUUGUUGUUGCUGUUUUGACAACAACUAAUAUCAGUCAUUUGUCAACGAUUUAAAAUAAGCCAUGAUUCCUCAUCAUUUCGCUUUUAUAUGAGAUUGAAUAGUUGGGCAGUUACUAUUCAGAGCUAUCCUCUAGCUAUACAACCACGUCCGUUUGGCAUUGCCGUUAAGCAUUACCUCAUCAAGAUCUCAAAACCAUUUUUGGCCGGAAUCAAACGUAAACUUUCGUGCCUGGUUUGGGACCUAGACGACUAUGCGUGUAUCCGAGCUUGCUAGGUAAACAUCUUACCUGCUUCUUGAAAUCUUUUUUAUGUCGGUCAUCCGCAGAAUUCCAGAUUGAAAUAAAUAGAUAGCUCAAAUAUUAUAAACAUAUGCCGUUUUGAUUAAAUAAACAUAUAUAAUAAUAAUAGAAUAUACUAUUGGAACGUGCACGCUUUUGAGCUUUCAUUUGCGAUGUGAAAUCUCAACGGUUCCAAGAAGAUUGCUAGUUUUCGCAUAUCAUGUAUAAGAUAUGUGAUAUUGUGCUUGGCUCGAGGUACCAGAUCAACCAAUUUUACACUCACUUCCAUAUUUUGUUUGUUUUAGAUAAUAAAAACUGAGUAAAAAUGAUUGACUAUUUCUGAGCCUGCUCCGAGAGUACUCUAAAAAGACAGAACUGUACUUUACAAAAGAAAUUGCUGAAAGUCUAGACUAAUCUGAGGGCUUUUGCAAAGGUGUCUUUAAUUCGGGAAUGUCUCAGACCCUUUCCUACUUUGUAAACAAAGAAAGGCCUAAGCUAGACAUACAUGUCGAUCUAAUUUUGCAUUGACCGGUGUAACGAAUUCCCAAGUAUGUACACAAAUAGCGGUAGUAUCGAAAUGUUGCGGAAUGUACGCGGUCUACAACGGUGUUACCCAUUGCACUUCGCCCAAUAUGUCGUAGAGAUCUAAUUCGCAUGAUUACUAUCCGCGUGAUGUUUGUUCUUGGCCUCGGCUGAGAAUCAUCCUUUGAGCUGCGGCGUCCCACGGCACGUUCUUAGCUGGCAAAGGUGCUGCCUAGAUAGAUCUAAGUGAUUAAAAUGAACCUAUGAGGAUAGAAUGCGCAAGCUCAACAGGGGUGAAGAGACCUGAGCGAGUGAAAGAGAUCGGCAGUGACUGCUAGCUAGACGCGCUUCAAGGCGAAAAACCUUGGUAAAGUCCGCCAAGGGUUUUUCUAUCAUUAGCUUGUUAUAGGAAUCCGAAAUGUCAAACCGGAGUAGCACCGCAGCUUUUAAACUAAGCAGGACCUCCAGAACUGAACAUGUGCUUUGUAGAACAAGGAAGUUUUAAGUACUUAUGUGCAUCUAAGACAUGUAGGUAACACUAACCCCUCCUCCUUUGCAUGGACUCAACCCUGAAUGAAAAUUCUUCUUUAUUGAGAGUGGUCUAUAUAGAAGUAACGUUUUGAUAUUGGUGAUUCAACAAUUAAAGUGAAAUAGAGCCACUGACUGUGAUACUGGGCAUUAUCGUAGUAACAAUACCACAAACUGUAAUUUAACCACGCCUACAAGAUGUCCCCAGCCCAAACUGCACAACAUGAAAAAGAGCUCACUGGAAGCAUUUUCUGCCGCUUCGCGUCGCCUUAUAAACAACAGCAUAGUUUUUGUCUUAUGUACAUCGAUAUGUUAACAUCUAGAACAGUGAUCCAGAAAUGUAAGAAAGCUGUAGAGAGAACAUUGUGCAUAUAUGGUAGAACUGGCACUUCUAGUGGUCAUGUUUAUCCCGUCUAACGACCAUUCACCACUAUUACAGCUCCCAUUCACGAGCUAAGCCACAAAUUAAUAAAUUUAACAUUAUUUAAUUUCUUAAUUGGCAAAUAACUGUUUUAUACUAACCGCGCGUGCAGCGAUGUUGGUAGUUACAAACUCGUUAGAGUAUCGCUCAAGUAGGUUACAUACAGAAAAUUUAAAUGAAAUUAAAUUUGGGUUGGCCAAAAGUCCUAAGACGCAACAACUCAAAACGGCCUGAAAGCCCGAAAGGUGCACUAAGGCCCCAAAAACUGUCCGUUGAAGCUUAUCUGAACUACUCAAUUGGCAGUUUAUUAUCUCCUCCCCAAAAUAGCCUUUAAUUUCUCUAUCGAAAAACUAGAUUCAUCAAAUUUCUUUUCUAAGCCAUUUUUAUGAUAUUUUGAGCUUCUUGAACGCACCGCCCUGCGGGUUUCACGGUUGUUUGACAGGGCAAUACGCAGAAGUCUUGGAGGAUUUCUCAUGCCUCCUAUUGAGGUUACCGUAUCCAUGCAUUGAUCUCUUGAAUCGGCUUGGGAUAAUACGUUCCGGCUCCUACCAACUCCAUACAAGGCCAUCAUUACAAAAGCGGCAUUUGAAAAGUACCAUUUUGAACAUAAAGCUAUGUCAACAAACUAAUGUGAUCCAGGUUUAAUACCGUUGGGUAAAUAAUCAAAAGCACUUUCAUAGCGUCUGUUACACCCCGCCUUUUUCGAGGGCUUAUGAGGUUUACAUAAACAUUAUAAAUAGCAACCAUAAUUAUUUCAACCAAACGACUGUUUACCGGCUAAGCCGGUAGGAGAAACAAACCGAUAGAACGCUACUUUGCUGAUUUUUUACUGGUUAUGUCUUUGUAUAAUUUUCGUUCUAUAUAAAAAUUAGCGCCCGCGUACUCGUUACUGUUACCAUACGCUUGCAUGCCAGAGGUCAAAACCGAUCCGGUCUGCCAGCCACCUUAGAUGAACUAGCCUAAAAACUCAAGGUGCUAAAACAACAAAGCCCAGUUUUAGGAAUUACAGUCUCACCAUGCCAGCCUCGAUCCUAUGGGGUGACAGGUCUUUUAAAAACACGUACAACUACAACCACAAUGACGGUGUUUAACUGUGUAUCUGCCAGUUACCAACCCUGACUUGUAAUAAAAUGAUAAACCCUUGAAAGUGUCGCCAGUAUGUCCGUAUUGUUUCUGUUUUGCAUGGCAAAGAGACGGUACAAAGCCGUCAGCUCACAGUAAAGAUGAUAAUAUAUCGCAUUAGUAACGGUAAUAGACAGACAUGUUUCGAAGUGAUGUUUUGUGGCCUAUUGAAACCGCACACAGUCGUCGUUCCAUUUAGUACUGAGUACUGAAAACUUCAACCUUUCUCUACUGGUUUGCCUUAUUUUUUCAUUAGUGUUAUCGCGUAUGUGGUAUUCGGUCUCGCCGUUGGCUGAUCUCAACAAAAACAAGUGUGUUAAUUGCCUAUUCCCGACUAAUACAUCCUAACUAGCUCAUCUGCUCAGCUUGCCGUCAUUCGGCCCAGCUUCGCCUACCCAAAUUGAAUGCAGAGGCCUUUCAAGCGAAAACUAGCGGGCUACACCGUGCGCGGUGAGGACGACUCAACAGCGCACCGAGAAGACGUCGCUUAGAAGAUAGCAGCUCGUGACGGGCAUAAAAGGUGCGCGAGUCUAAGAUCAACCGUAAAGAAUGGCGGUGUCAUCCAGUAAGAAGACGAUGAUGACGCAAGUAGAUGGAUUCACCAGGGAACGAACGGUGUGAUCGGUGAAUACUAUGCGUGUAGUACUUUUUAGAAUGGCUUCCUGAGAAUCAUUUUUUCGGUGCUCGACUGCCGUACGUUGGGGUAAUAACAGGAAUAGGAUGAUAGGUGGUCAAUCUAAGGUGCCAGGGCUGCAUAAUGUCACUAACGUUAUUAGAAAUAUGUGUGUUUACGUAUUACUACCUAAGGUAUGCUACAGAAAUAAAAAAAACUACUUGGUAAUCUUCCUGCUUCAUUUUUGUUCGUAUGAUAAAUACUAGAAAACGAGCAAAAUACCUAAAAGGAGCCGAUUUUUUUUUACUUUUUAAUUUUUUUAAAGAAUCAGGAGGCAACUUUUGGCCAUUGGUCGCUGUUCGCUACAUACGCAUUGACUUUUUUGCUAUUUUAGCAAAGAAGUAUAACGUGGUCGAUGCAGGAAUAUCUCGAGAACACUGGACAGCGUAUAUGACUUGGACGCUUUCUCCGCAUUUCUGUGAAUGUUAACUUUAGCUGGAAACUGGGCCCUAGCUCAAGUGUCGACUCAUAGAAAUGAUAUAUAUUCGUAGAUUCUCAAUACGACUCAACAUGCAUAGAGCGUUAAAUGCUUUGAAUUUAUUAAGCAUUGAUCAUUGUCUUUAUAAAUGCACAUUUCUGUGCUAUGAAACAUUGAUAUAAUGGGCAAAUGAAAUGAUUCAAACUGUCCUACCAAUGAACAAAUACAAUGUAUUGGCAAAUUGUGUGCUUAGAGUUACACGACCGAAUUCUCGUACCGAAUCAGCCAGCGGCAGUAGCGUUUUGUGCUAGCUCAAUCCAAUCGACGCCGUGAGUCAAGAUGGGAACCCACACUGUCGUGACCUAUUCCGCAAAAGGAACGCUAACACCUGUCGAAGUUGGCGCAAGCCUGCAACCAUCAUUAUUGUUACCAUCUCAAAUGAUUUUACUAUCGCGUUCUGUCUGGUAGUGAGUCGUAGCUCUCAGCUUUUCGUUCGGCGACGAUGUAGUCUGUCCAAUAAAGUCUAGCAUCUGCUUUUUCUAUUGGGCCUUUAAGCCAAUGCCAGCCAAUGUCCACUAAGAUAAAUUGGGCCUGCCUGAGAAAUGCUAUUAUCGUUGUCGUAAGCUUUUAGUGACUUUAACAUACUAACGAUCAAUGCCUAACCACUAUAAAUUCAAAUCAACCAACUUUCCGAUAAAUACUCAUAACACAAUAAGAUUUCACAAACGAUGAUAAGCCCGUGAAAAAGCGAAUAUCACAACUGUACACGAUAAUACUAAGUAACUACAAGACACGAUCACAUAUUAUUAAACAAAUUACUUGUACAUAUAUGUGUUGGCGCAGGGCUUGAAUGUUUAUAGGCGCUCAGUUUUUUAAUUUGACUUAUAAGCGAAAGAUGUUUCAGGUGACUAUAUAUUACAGCGCAAUCCCUACAGAAGGGAAUAGGCCGUGACGCCGCACAUUAAUAGCCGGGCACAGGCCGCACAAACCGUACAAAUAAAAGAAAAAUUGGUAAGACGCUAGUUCUAAGUGAGUCCGCACAGAUCUCUGCUUUUAAUGCGUGGCAUUCUUCAGACGGGUUUUCGUGGUUUCAGUGGUAUCUACAUAUGAUCUACAGUCAACUAAUCCGUUGAGGGCGUGCGGGACGCUAUCGGAUGUUACAGCCAAUUUUCGAUAUAUAGACUGACGGCUCCGAGAGCAGAGCAACUUGUAGAUGGAGGAUCUCUUCAACGGAAAACAACGGAUAACGUCAUCAAUGUCGUAAUUUCAAUCACCCAGAGCGUCAACUCCCGUAAGAGCACAUAGAUACGCUGGUAACGUAGCAGCACAGGUAUAUUGGAUAAAACGGCCUUGCGACGCGGGCGAGGGUAAGCGCCACAUUCCCUCGUCACAGGCUUUAUAACAUGAAUCAAAUGAUAAUGGAAAUAAUAAGACGACCAGCGCUUCUCAUCAAAGAUAAUGCCGUAUAUCAAGUGCAAGCUUUUCUGGAGCUAGCCGAUGUGGGAGCACACACACGUGCAAUGAUCAAGGUCGGGUCAUACAGAAACAAACCAUACGACUCAUAACUUUCGCUACUGCCAUCUCCAUGAUCGGUCUACAUGGUAACGUAGCGAUGGCCUGACGAAGAGAGGAGAUUACUUAGUACUAACUGAACAUGCGGCAACAUCAUUCGCUCAAAGUGCAUUUAUAUAAAGAUGGUCCGAAAUCAUGAGCUAACAGGAAGCCGGUCUGGCCAGUAGCCUAUAAAGCGCUUACAAUGCAUACGUUUGAAAAAACAAGCGAAGGCCAUAUAGGCAGCAGCCCCUUGAGCAAACAACUAACCGGACGUUUCGUACGGAACGUGCCAUCAAAUGAGGCGAAACCGCAUUUCAAAGACGUAGACAACGAGGAAAUCGGCGAAUCUCUCGGCAAAUUCAGUAGGCUGAUGACUAAUAAAGCGUUUGUUCACGCAUAAACGAUA
rnacentral:lncRNA from 1 species